rnacentral:rRNA from 1 species
UACGAAGGGGCUAGCGUUGUUCGGAAUUACUGGGCGUAAAGCGCACGUAGGCGGAUAUUUAAGUCGGGGGUGAAAUCCCGGGCUCAACCCCGGAACUGCCUUCGAUACUGGGUAUCUUGAGUUCGGAAGAGGUGAGUGGAAUUGCGAGUGUAGAGGUGAAAUUCGUAGAUAUCGGGAGGAACGACCGGUGGCGAAGGCGGCGAUCUGGGUCGAUACUGACGCUGAGGUGCGAAAGCGUGGGGAGCAA